AACCAACUGGGAUUACCUUAGUAACGGCGAGUGAAGCGGUAAAAGCUCAAAUUUGAAAUCUGGUACUUUCAGUGCCCGAGUUGUAAUUUGUAGAAUUUGUCUUUGAUUAGGUCCUUGUCUAUGUUCCUUGGAACAGGACGUCAUAGAGGGUGAGAAUCCCGUUUGGCGAGGAUACCUUUUCUCUGUAAGACUUUUUCGAAGAGUCGAGUUGUUUGGGAAUGCAGCUCAAAGUGGGUGGUAAAUUCCAUCUAAAGCUAAAUAUUGGCGAGAGACCGAUAGCGAACAAGUACAGUGAUGGAAAGAUGAAAAGAACUUUGAAAAGAGAGUGAAAAAGUACGUGAAAUUGUUGAAAGGGAAGGGCAUUUGAUCAGACAUGGUGUUUUUUGCAUGCACUCGCCUCUCGUGGGCUUGGGCCUCUCAAAAUUUCACUGGGCCAACAUCAAUUCUGGCAGCAGGAUAAAUCAUUAAGAAUGUAGCUACUUCGGUAGUGUUAUAGCUUUUUGGAAUACUGUUAGCCGGGAUUG
rnacentral:rRNA from 1 species